AAAAUCGUGAGGGUNCAAGUCCCUCUAUCCCCA
rnacentral:tRNA from 1 species